rnacentral:rRNA from 1 species
CGUACAAAGGAAUUGACGGGACCGCACAAGCGGUGGAUGAUGUGGUUUAAUUCGAUGCAACGCGAAAACCUUACCACCUUUGACAUGUACGGAAUCCUUUAGAGAUAGAGGAGUGCUCGAAAGAGAACCGUAACACAGGUGCUGCAUGGCUGUCGUCAGCUCGUGUCGUGAGAUGUUGGGUUAAGUCCCGCAACGAGCGCAACCCUUGUCAUUAGUUGCUACAUUCAGUUGGGCACUCUAAUGAGACUGCCGGUGACAAACCGGAGGAAGGUGGGGAUGACGUCAAGUCCUCAUGGCCCUUAUAGGUGGGGCUACACACGUCAUACAAUGGAUGGUACAAAGGGUCGCCAACCCGCGAGGGGGAGCCAAUCCCAUAAAGCCAUUCGUAGUCCGGAUCGCAGUCUGCAACUCGACUGCGUGAAGUCGGAAUCGCUAGUAAUCGUGGAUCAGAAUGUCACGGUGAAUACGUUCCCGGGUCUU